UGAUUCUCUUUGGUUUUUAUUACUGCAAAGAACACAAACGCACUUUCUAUAUCUUUAUAAAAAGUUAUGUGAUGCCUUCUUUGUUUCGAGCUUCAUGAAAAUAAAGGAUUGUUAAUUGACGUUCUAAAGGAAUCAUUAUUUUAUUCACCUUCCAAAUUAUAAAUUGAUUCCAAGUUAUUACAAGCUUACCACAAAAAUUAACGUUAAAGAAUUGGAACUGAGAUGGACAGAAAUGAAUUUUUGAUACAUUUACCUGCAAAUGUAAUUCGUCUGCAGAAAACAAGUACAGACUGUGAUUUUGAUUCAGACUGCAUAAAAAAAAUUGAAGCAAAGCUGUAUAAAUGCUAGUCCAGUUCAAAUUCAACACCCAGGAAUAGGAUAGAAUCCAUCAGUAUCGUUAUAUUUUUCAU